rnacentral:rRNA from 1 species
UACGGGGGGGGCAAGCGUUGUUCGGAAUUACUGGGCGUAAAGGGUUAGUAGGUGGCGCCGUAAGUCGGGUGUGAAAUUUCGGAGCUUAACUCCGAAACUGCAUUCGAUACUGCGGUGCUUGAGGACUGGAGAGGAGACUGGAAUUCAUGGUGUAGCAGUGAAAUGCGUAGAGAUCAUGAGGAAGACCAGUGGCGAAGGCGGGUCUCUGGACAGUUCCUGACACUGAGACACGAAGGCCAGGGGAGCAAACGGG